rnacentral:rRNA from 1 species
GACGAACGCUGGCGGCGUGCUUAACACAUGCAAGUCGAACGAUGAAGCCGCUUCGGUGGUGGAUUAGUGGCGAACGGGUGAGUAACGCGUGGGCAAUCUGCCCUGCCCUCUGGGACAAGCCCUGGAAACGGGGUCUAAUACCGGAUACGACCAUCGGCCGCAUGGCCUGGUGGUGGAAAGCUCUGGUGGUGCAGGAUGAGCCCGCGGCCUAUCAGCUUGUUGGUGGGGUGAUGGCCUACCAAGGCGACGACGGGUAGCCGGCCUGAGAGGGCGACCGGCCACACUGGGACUGAGACACGGCCCAGACUCCUACGGGAGGCAGCAGUGGGGAAUAUUGCACAAUGGGCGCAAGCCUGAUGCAGCGACGCCGCGUGAGGGAUGACGGCCUUCGGGUUGUAAACCUCUUUCAGCAGGGAAGAAGCUUUCGGGUGACGGUACCUGCAGAAGAAGCACCGGCUAACUACGUGCCAGCUGCCGCGGUAA